rnacentral:rRNA from 1 species
GAGUUCUCUUUUCUUUUUAACAGUCCCCAUGGUGGCGCGCUCGCGCGUACAGCUUGAUGGCCCCGGAAUCGGGUUAACCGGAGAGGGGGUCAAAGGACUGGGAAAGCACUGUACCUUUUGCAGUGUCCGGUGCGCUCCUGACGGCCCUUGAAAAUGUGGGGGAAAGAAUCAUUCUCUUGCCUGGCCGUACUCAUAACCGCAGCAGGUCUCCAAGGUGAACAGCCUCUAGUCGAUAGAAUAAUGUAGGUAAGGGAAGUCGGCAAAAUGGAUCCGUAACUUCGGGAAAAGGAUUGGCUCUAAGGGUUGGGCUAGGGGGUCUGCAUCUGGAGCCCCACUGCUGCUGCAGGGACCGGCUUGCGGCUGGCUGUUCGACUAGGGGCAACCCGAAAGAACGGCUGACUGUGAACGCCCGGCGGUGGUGUGGGGAGCUGGUGCAGGGGGAGGUCCCGUGUGGGCGCGCUGUGGGGCAACCUGCGGCGUGCGCGUGCGGGGGUGCCUUUUUUCCCCUAGCAACUAACAACCAACUUAGAACUGUAACGGACAAGGGGAAUCCGACUGUUUAAUU